rnacentral:rRNA from 1 species
AUGAACGCUAGCUACAGGCUUAACACAUGCAAGUCGAGGGGCAGCAUGAACUUAGCUUGCUAAGUUUGAUGGCGACCGGCGCACGGGUGAGUAACACGUAUCCAACCUUCCGUUUACUCAGGGAUAGCCUUUCGAAAGAAAGAUUAAUACCUGAUAGUAUGGUGAGAUUGCAUGAUAGCACCAUUAAAGAUUUAUUGGUAAACGAUGGGGAUGCGUUCCAUUAGGUAGUAGGCGGGGUAACGGCCCACCUAGCCGACGAUGGAUAGGGGUUCUGAGAGGAAGGUCCCCCACAUUGGAACUGAGACACGGUCCAAACUCCUACGGGAGGCAGCAGUGAGGAAUAUUGGUCAAUGGGCGAGAGCCUGAACCAGCCAAGUAGCGUGAAGGAUGAAGGUCCUACGGAUUGUAAACUUCUUUUAUACGGGAAUAAAGUAUCCUACGUGUAGGAUUUUGUAUGUACCGUAUGAAUAAGCAUCGGCUAACUCCGUGCCAGCAGCCGCGGUAAUACGGAGGAUGCGAGCGUUAUCCGGAUUUAUUGGGUUUAAAGGGAGCGCAGACGGGAGAUUAAGUCAGUUGUGAAAGUUUGCGGCUCAACCGUAAAAUUGCAGUUGAUACUGGUUUCCUUGAGUGCAGUUGAGGCAGGCGGAAUUCGUGGUGUAGCGGUGAAAUGCUUAGAUAUCACGAAGAACCCCGAUUGCGAAGGCAGCUUGCUAAACUGUAACUGACGUUCAUGCUCGAAAGUGUGGGUAUCAAACAGGAUUAGAUACCCUGGUAGUCCACGCCGUAAACGAUGAGUGCUAAGUGUUAGGGGGUUUCCGCCCCUUAGUGCUGCAGCUAACGCAUUAAGCACUCCGCCUGGGGAGUACGACCGCAAGGUUGAAACUCAAAGGAAUUGACGGGGGCCCGCACAAGCGGUGGAGCAUGUGGUUUAAUUCGAAGCAACGCGAAGAACCUUACCAGGUCUUGACAUCCCGAUGCUAUUUCUAGAGAUAGAAAGUUACUUCGGUACAUCGGUGACAGGUGGUGCAUGGUUGUCGUCAGCUCGUGUCGUGAGAUGUUGGGUUAAGUCCCGCAACGAGCGCAACCCUUAUUGUUAGUUGCCAUCAUUAAGUUGGGCACUCUAGCGAGACUGCCGGUAAUAAACCGGAGGAAGGUGGGGAUGACGUCAAAUCAGCACGGCCCUUACGUCCGGGGCUACACACGUGUUACAAUGGGAGGUACAGAAGGCCGCUACCCGGCGACGGGAUGCCAAUCCCCAAAACCUCUCUCAGUUCGGACUGGAGUCUGCAACCCGACUCCACGAAGCUGGAUUCGCUAGUAAUCGCGCAUCAGCCACGGCGCGGUGAAUACGUUCCCGGGCCUUGUACACACCGCCCGUCAAGCCAUGGGAGCCGGGGGUACCUGAAGUGCGUAACCGCAAGGAGCGCCCUAGGGUAAAACUGGUGACUGGGGCU